AGAGUUUGAUCCUGGCUCAGAUUGAACGCUGGCGGCAUGCCUUACACAUGCAAGUCGAACGGUAACGCGGGGGCAACCCUGGCGACGAGUGGCGAACGGGUGAGUAAUACAUCGGAACAUAUCCAGUAGCGGGGGAUAACCUAUCGAAAGAUGGACUAAUACCGCAUACGAUCUACGGAUGAAAGCAGGGGACCGCAAGGCCUUGCACUAUUGGAGUGGCCGAUGUCGGAUUAGCUAGUUGGUGGGGUAAAAGCUUACCAAGGCGACGAUCCGUAGCUGGUCUGAGAGGACGAUCAGCCACACUGGAACUGAGACACGGUCCAGACUCCUACGGGAGGCAGCAGUGGGGAAUUUUGGACAAUGGGCGCAAGCCUGAUCCAGCCAUGCCGCGUGAGUGAAGAAGGCCUUCGGGUUGUAAAGCUCUUUCGGUGAAGACGAAACGGUUCAUGCUAAUAACGUGAACUAAUGACGGUACUCACAGAAGAAGCACCGGCUAACUACGUGCCAGCAGCCGCGGUAAUACGUAGGGUGCAGGCGUUAAUCGGAAUUACUGGGCGUAAAGCGUGCGCAGGCGGUUUGCUAAGACAGGUGUGAAAUCCCCGGGCUUAACCUGGGAAUUGCGCUUGUAACUGGCAAGCUAGAGUGUGGCAGAGGGGGGUGGAAUUCCACGUGUAGCAGUGAAAUGCGUAGAUAUGUGGAGGAACACCGAUGGCGAAGGCAGCCCCCUGGGUUAACACUGACGCUCAUGCACGAAAGCGUGGGGAGCAAACAGGAUUAGAUACCCUGGUAGUCCACGCCCUAAACUAUGUCAACUAGUUGUCGGGGAAGAAAUUCCUUGGUAACGAAGCUAACGCGUGAAGUUGACCGCCUGGGGAGUACGGCCGCAAGGUUAAAACUCAAAGGAAUUGACGGGGACCCGCACAAGCGGUGGAUUAUGUGGAUUAAUUCGAUGCAACGCGAAAAACCUUACCUACCCUUGACAUGCUAGGAAGCCCGCAGAGAUGUGGGUGUGCCCGAAAGGGAACCUAGACACAGGUGCUGCAUGGCUGUCGUCAGCUCGUGUCGUGAGAUGUUGGGUUAAGUCCCGCAACGAGCGCAACCCUUGCCAUUAGUUGCUACAUUCAGUUGGGCACUCCAAUGGGACCGCCGGUGACAAACCGGAGGAAGGUGGGGAUGACGUCAAGUCCUCAUGGCCCUUAUGGGUAGGGCUUCACACGUAAUACAAUGGUCGGUACAGAGGGCUGCCAACCCGCAAGGGGGAGCUAAUCCCAGAAAGCCGAUCGUAGUCCGGAUUGUAGUCUGCAACUCGACUGCAUGAAGCCGGAAUCGCUAGUAAUCGCGGAUCAGCAUGUCGCGGUGAUACGUUCCCGGGUCUUGUACACACCGCCCGUCACACCAUGGGGGUGGGUUCCACCAGAAGUAGUUAGCCUAACCGCAAGGAGGGCGAUUACCACGGUGAGAUUCAUGACUGGGGUGAAGUCGUAACAAGGUA
rnacentral:rRNA from 1 species